CAAGAAAUAAGAAGAUUGUUAGUGUUAUUAGUGUUCUUGUUUUGCUAAAUUUUGUAUAUUGUUAUCAAGAAAUGAGAAGAUUGAUAGUUUUAUUAGUGUUCUUGUUUUGCUAAAUUUUGUAUAUUGUUAUCAAGAAAUGAGAAGGUUGAUAAUGUUAUUAGUGUUCUUGUUUUGCUAAUUUUUGUAUAUUGUCAUCAAGAAAUGAGAAGAUUGAUAGUGUUAUUAGUGUUCUUGUUAUCAAGAAACAUUUGACGCUGACCCUUUACCAAAAUCUCCCAAAAAUGAAAGGCAUUGCCAUGGGGAAUUCUCCAUGGCUUCUGUUAGUCAAAUAAGGAUAUGGAAGAUAACAACUAGGUCGAUGUAAGCCAUGACGCACUGUUCGUUGGAAUUUAUGAUGGCUUCAAAGGCCACACCGCUGCUUCCUAAAUCCGUACGCACAUCUUUAGGACUCUAUUACGUGAGUUAUUUUUUUGCUUCUUUUUUCUUAGCAUACUUACCUGUAUAUUCUUAUCAAGAAAUGAGAAGAUUGAUAGUGUUGUUAGAGUUCUUGUUUUGCUAAGUUUUGUAUAUUGUUAUAAAGAAAUGAGAAGAUUGAUAGUGUUAUUAGUGUUCUUGUUUUGCUAAAUUUUGUAUAUUGUUAUCAAGAAAUGAGAAGAUCGAUAGUGAUAUUAGUGUUCUUGUUUUGCUAAAUUUUGUAUAUUGCUAUAAAAAAUUUGAAGAUCGAUAGUGUUAUUAGUGUUCUUGUUUUGCUAAAUUUUGUAUAUUGUUAUCAAGAAAUGAAAAGAUUGAGUAGUGGUUAUUAGUGUUCUUGUUUUGUAAAUUUUGUAUAUUGUAUCAAGAAUGAGAAGAUUGCAGUGUUAUUAGUGUUCUUGUUUGCUAAAUUUUGUAUAUUGUUAUCAAGAAAUGAGAAGAUUGAUAGUGUUAUUAGUGUUCUUGUUUUGCUAAAUUUUGUAUAUUGUUAUCAAGAAAUGAAGAAGAUUGAUAGUGUAAUUAGUGUUCUUGUUUUGCUAAAUUUUUAUAUUGUUAUCAAGAAAUGAGAAGUGUCGAUAGUGUUAUUAGUGUUCUUGUUUUCCUAAUUUUGUAUAUUCUUUAAGAAUGAGAAGAUUGAUAGUCUUAUUAUGUUCUUGUUUCGCUAAUUUUUGUAUAUGUUAUCAAGAAAUGAGAAGAUUGAUAGUGUUAUUAGUGUUUUGUUUUGCUAAUUUUGUAUAUUGUUGUCAAGAAUGAGAAGAUUGAUAUGUUAUAGUGUUCUUGUUUUCUAAUUUUGUAUAUUGUUAUCAAGAAAUGAGAAGAUCGAUAGUGUAUUAGUGUUCUGUUUUGCUAAAUUUUGUAUAUUGCUAUAAGAAAUAGAAGAUCGAUAGUGUUAUUAGUGUUCUUGUUUGCUAAUUUUGUUUAUAUUGUUAUCAAAAAUGAGAAGAUUGAUAGUGUUAUUAGUGUUCUGUUUUUGCUAAAUUUUUGUAUAUGUUAUCAAGAAAUGAGAAGUGAUAAUGUUAUUAGUGUUCUUGUUUUGCCUAAAUUUUGUAUAUUCUUAUCAAGAAAUGAGAAGAUUGAUAGUCUGUUAUAGUGUUCUUGUUUGCUAAUUUGUAUAUUCUUGUCAAGAAAUGAGAAGAUUGAUAGUGUUAUUAGUGUUUUGUUUUGCUAAUUUUGUAUAUUGUUAUCAAAAAUGAGAAAGAGAUUUAGUGUUAUUAGUGGUUCUUGUUUUGCUAAAUUUUGUAUAUUGUUAUCAAGAAAUGAGAAGAUUGUAGUGUAUUAGUGUUCUUGUUUUGCUAAAUUUUGUAUAUUGUUAUCAAGACAAUGAGAAGGUCGAUAGUGUUAUUAGUUGUUUUUGUUUCUCCUCUAUUUUGUAUUUUGAAUAGAUAGAUUCGAUAGAUAAGUUAUGUCUUAUUAGUGUUCUUGUUCGCUAAUUUUUGAUAUUUGUCAAAGAAAUGAGAAGAUUGAUAGUGUUAUUAGUUUCUUGUUUUGCUAAAUUUGUCGUUAGUUGGUUGUAUAUAGAUUAAUUGAGAAGAUUGAUAUGUUAUCAGUGUCUGUGUUGUUGCUAAUUUGGGUAUAUUGUUUCAAGAAUAGCAAGAUGAUAGUUUUAUUAGUGUUUCUUGUUUCUAAUUUUGUAUAUUGCUAUAUAAAUUGAAGAUCGAUGUGUUAUUAGUGUUCUUGUUUUGCUAAUUUUCUAGUAUGUUCAAAGAAAUGAAAAGAUUGAUAGUGUUAUUAGUGUUCUUGUUUUGCUAAAUUUUGUAUAUUGUUAUCAAAGAAAUGAGAAGAUUGAUAGUGUUAUUAGUGUUCUUGUUUUGCGUAAAUUUUGUAUAUUUGUUAUCAAGGAAUGAGAAGAUUGAUUAGUGUUUUAUUAGUGUUCUGUUUUGGCUAAAUUUUGUAUAUUGUUUAUUUCAACUGAAUGGAAGAUUGAUAGGGUUUUUAGUGUUUUGUUUUGCUAAGUUUUGUAUAUUGGUUAUCAUGCAAUACGAGAAGAUGAUAGUGUUAUUAGUGUUCUUGGUUUUGCUAAAUUUUGUAUAUUGUUAUCCAAGAAAUAGAAGAUUGAUAGUGUUAUUAGUGUUCUUGUUUUUCGCUAAGUUUUGUAUAUUGUUAUAAAAAAAUGAGAAGAUUGAUAGUGAUAUUAGUGUUCUUGUUUUUGCUAAAAUUUUGUAUAUUGUAUCAAGAAAUGAGAAGUUGAUAGUGUUAUUAGUGUUCUUGUUUGCUAAAUUUUGUAUAUUGUUAUCAAAAUGAGAAGAUUGAUAGUGUUAUUAGUGUUCUUGUUAUCAAGAGAACAUUUUAAUGCUGACCUUUACCAACAAUCUCCCAAAAAUGAAAGGAUUGCCAUGGCGGAAUUCUCCAUUGGCUUCUUUUAGUCAAAUAGAGAUAUUGGAAAUCACAACUAGGAGCGAUGUAAGCCAUGACGCACUGUUCGUUGGAAUUUUAUGAUGGUUCAAAGGCCCCACCCGCUGCUUCCUAUAUCCGUACGCACAUCUUUAGGACUCUCAGUUACGUAGUUUGAUUUUUUUGGCUUCUUUUUGCUUAGGCAUACUUACCUGUUUAUCUUAUAAGAAAUGAAAGAUUGAUAGAUGUUAUUAGAGUUCUUGUUUUGCUAAAAUUGUGUAUAUUGUUAUCAAGAAAUAGAAGAUUGAUGUGUUAUUAGUGUUCUAGUUUGGCUAAAUUUGUAUAUUGCUUAUACGAAAUGAGAAGAUUGAUAGUGUUUAUCUAGUGUUCUUUUUUUUGCUAGAUUUAGGUAUAUUGUUAUCAAGAAAUGAGAAGAUUGAUAGUGUUAUUAGUGUUCUUGUUUUGCUAAAUUUUGUAUAUUGUUAUCAAGAAAUGAGAAGGUCGAUAGUGUUAUUAGUGUUCUUGUUUUCCUAAAUUUUGUAUAUUAUUAUCAAGAAAUGAGAAGAUUGAUAGACUUAUUAGUGUUCUUGUUUCGCUAAUUUUGUAUAUUCUUGUCAAGAAAUGAGAAGAUUGAUAGUGUUAUUAGCGUUCUUGUUUUGCUAAAUUUUGUAUAUUGUUGUCAAGAAAUGAGAAGAUUGAUAAUGUUAUCAGUGUUCUUGUUUUGCUAAGUUUUGUAUAUUGUUAUCAAGAAAUAUGAAGAUCGAUAGUGUUAUUAGUGUUCUUGUUUUGCUAAAUUUUGUAUAUUGCUAUAAAAAAUUAGAAGAUCGAUAGUGUUAUUAGUGUUCUUGUUUUGCUAAAUUUUCUAUAUUGUUAUCAAGAAAUGAAAAGAUUGAUAGUGUUAUUAGUGUUCUUGUUUUGCUAAAUUUUGUAUAUUGUUAUCAAAAAAUGAGAAGAUUGAUAGUGUUAUUAGUGUUCUUGUUUUGCUAAAUUUUGUAUAUUGUUAUCAAGGAAUGAGAAGAUUGAUAGUGUUAUUAGUGUUCUUGUUUUGCUAAAUUUUGUAUAUUGUUAUCA
rnacentral:lncRNA from 1 species